rnacentral:rRNA from 1 species
CCUACGGGAGGCAGCAGUGGGGAAUAUUGGACAAUGGGCGAAAGCCUGAUCCAGCCAUGCCGCGUGUGUGAAGAAGGCCUUCGGGUUGUAAAGCACUUUCAGUGGGGAAGAAAGCCUUGGGGCUAAUACCCUCGAGGAAGGACAUCACCCACAGAAGAAGCACCGGCUAACUCCGUCCCAGCAGCCGCGGUAAUACGGAGGGUGCGAGCGUUAAUCGGAAUUACUGGGCGUAAAGCGCGCGUAGGCGGUCUGAUAAGCCGGUUGUGAAAGCCCCGGGCUCAACCUGGGAACGGCAUCCGGAACUGUCAGGCUAGAGUGCAGGAGAGGAAGGUAGAAUUCCCGGUGUAGCGGUGAAAUGCGUAGAGAUCGGGAGGAAUACCAGUGGCGAAGGCGGCCUUCUGGACUGACACUGACGCUGAGGUGCGAAAGCGUGGGUAGCAAACAGGAUUAGAUACCCGAGUAGUC